AGGAAAACAUGCGUGCCUCUUGUUCUGUUUUCUUAUUUUCUCUGAAGAGUUUUAUCCAUUUGCCUUCAAGAGUCAGGAUAUGCAUAGCGACAGGAAAAAAAACCUAUAAUUUAACUGUGUUUAUUCUUCAUUUCUUUUUGGACUUAUCCUCAGUUUGCCCUCUCCUACAUCUUACAAGGUGGCACCAAUCUGAGGACAUGAAGAAACCACCCAGUGUCCAUCUGUAACCGUGAUUGGCAGGAAGGCUGGCAGCCAGCCCAGGUUCCCAUGGGACGCUGAUGACGCCGAUCCAGGAACCACACUGAGAACUAAUGGGUUAGAACAUCUGCUAGAAGACCUGGAGGAAGCUGAAAAGAUUGACUGUUGAUCAAUCUUCAUUGAUAUGGUGAUGGCCAACCCCUGACUUCAUGGCCAGUCAACAGGCAGCUCUGGGAUACGGCUGGUCAGCAGUGCUGGCUAGUAGGUGUCACACCCUUCUGACAGAUUGUUCAUUCAUUAAAUACUUUGAGUACACGCUAAGCUCUCUGCUGGACACAGGAUACGAGGUCAAAGAGACUAUAUUUCAACCAACUGCCAAUCAGACAGGACUGGAUAACUUCCAGGUGGCACGGCUACUAACCCAUUACUCACAUGGACAAAGAGCUGGGACUCCUGAGAAGUUUGCACUGUGGGUCAGCUCUAGCUAAACCCAACCUAUUCAGCUGAGACUCUCAUGAAAACAGCGGCACAUGAAAAGGCCUAAGGGCUGGGCAGCUUGAGGACAGGUCUGGCUCAGUCCUACACCUUGAGAAAAUGAGAACUGGCCCAAGAAGGCACUAGUAAUCGAGUCUGCUGUUUUGUACAAAUUCUCUCGGCUGUUUGUUUGAU